UUAAUCUAUAGAUUGCUUUUGGUAGCAUGGCCAAUUUCACUAUAUUCAUCCUACUGAUCAAUGAGCAUGGAAGGUCUUGCCAUCUUCUGAUAGCUUCUUCAAUUUCUUUCUUCAGUGGCUGAAAGUUUUUAUCAUUCAAGUCAUUCACUUGCUUGGUUGAGUUACCCCAAGCUGGUAGUGUUGGUUCCAUAAGAGAGCAGGCUGAGCAAGCUA
rnacentral:lncRNA from 1 species